rnacentral:rRNA from 1 species
AGCGAACGCUGGCGGCAGGCCUAACACAUGCAAGUCGAACGAAACCUUCGGGGUUAGUGGCGGACGGGUGAGUAACGCGUGGGAACGUGCCUUUAGGUUCGGAAUAACUCAGGGAAACGUGUGCUAAUACCGGAUGAGCUCUUCGGGGGAAAGAUUUAUCGCCUUUAGAGCGGCCCGCGUUUGAUUAGCUAGUUGGUUGAGGUAAUGGCUAACCAAGGCGACGAUCAGUAGCUGGUCUGAGAGGAUGAUCAGCCACAUUGGGACUGAGACACGGCCCAAACUCCUACGGGAGGCAGCAGUGGGGAAUCUUGCGCAAUGGGCGAAAGCCUGACGCAGCCAUGCCGCGUGAAUGAUGAAGGUCUUAGGGUUGUAAAAUUCUUUCACCGGGGACGAUAAUGACAGUACCCGGAGAAUAAGCCCCGGCUAACUUCGUG